GUCUCCAGUGCCAACAGGGAUCUCCAGGGCAGCAGCAGGAAGUCCAGUCUAGCUGGCUCUGACCUCAGUGGCCAGCUGAGGAAAAUACCCUUCCUUCAAGAACGUGGGAUCUUUUCACCCGGUUGUGUGCGAGUGGACAUUGAAAUGGCUCACUUCUGGUCUUUCUAAUAUCUCUUGAUAUGAAGAGUGCAAAGACUGCUGGGAAAGAUGGGAACAUUUGCACAGGGGCUGAGAAUCAUGGGAAGAAAAGGGAAGAGACCCAGAACCUUUCCUUUCAAUGUUGGCCUGAAAACAUCUUGAGUAGAUUGAGAUCAUCACCAAAAGGCUGGGGACCAUGAUGGAGAGCUGAGUCUGGUGGAGUUGAAUUUGCCCACACUGGGCCCACAGGUUUGCUUCUACCUGGCAUGUCUUUUCAUUUCUUGUCCAUCCAGCAAACUUCUAUACAUCCUUCAAGACCCAGCUGAGUUAAGGCCUAUGGUGACCUUUGGUGACAUCUCCAGUAGAAUUAAACCCCAUCAUUCCUUCUGCUCUCAGCACUUGCGCAUACUUCAGUGGUGGUGCCUACACACCCUCUUCUGUGAACUCUUAACGGCUCACACAUCCUCCCGUCACCAUGCCUGUCACAUCCCUGCAGGAGUAGGAGGAGCCAUGAGGGUAGUUGGUAACUGCUGAGCACUCACUGCAUGUCAGGCACUGUGCUGUGUGUGUGAUGCGUGUCACCCCACUGGCCCUCACCACUUCCUAUGGGGUGUCACCACUUUACAGAUGAGGGGACAGACAGGUGUACAGACCCAUCGCUACCUGACUCUGGAGGCUGCAUUCUCAACCUCCCUCAUUUUGCUUGUGAACCCCAG
rnacentral:lncRNA from 1 species